UCUUCCGUAGUAUAGUGGUUAGUAUAUGAGCUUGUCAAACGCCAUCCGGCCGCAGCAAUCCGCUCGGGACCCGGGUUCAAUUCCCGGCGGGAGAG
rnacentral:tRNA from 1 species